GCGUCCCCAAGUCAGGCGUGAAUACCCGCUGAG
rnacentral:rRNA from 1 species